UACGGAGGGAGCUAGCGUUGUUCGGAAUUACUGGCGUAAAGCGCACGUAGGCGGCUUUGUAAGUUAGAGGUGAAAGCCCGGGGCUCAACUCCGGAAUUGCCUUUAAGACUGCAUCGCUUGAAUCCGGGAGAGGUGAGUGGAAUUCCGAGUGUAGAGGUGAAAUUCGUAGAUAUUCGGAAGAACACCAGUGGCGAAGGCGGCUCACUGGACCGGUAUUGACGCUGAGGUGCGAAAGCGUGGGGAGCAAACAGG
rnacentral:rRNA from 1 species